CCGGCGGCAAGGUAAAGGAAAGUUGAGUGACCGUUGGGAGGCCACCCCGUACGUAAUCUGCAGGCAGCAGAGACCGGGACAGCCGGUGUAUACCAUCCGGCCGGAAGGAAAGGCCGGCCCUGAACGUGUGGUACACCGAAACAUGAUUCGCCCUUGUCCAAAUUAUCCCGAGGUCACGGAGGAGGUAGUUGCGGAACCGGCACCAACGGCCCCCUGGAUGGAAGGAUGGGCUGUGGUACCAGGCUUACCCGUGGUGGCACCACCCCCGGCCGCCCCAGGAGAGCCAGAGCUAGCACCUGAGCCAGUUGAACCCCCGGCCGCCCAGAGGCAGCCAGGACCAGCACCAGAGCCAGCCGAACCCCCGGCCGCCCAAGGACAACCUGAGGUUGUGCCCGAGCCCGCCGAACCUGACUCCCCUGUGAGGCGCUCCCAACGGGAGAAUCGCGGCCGGCCCCCUUCCCGCUAUGGUGAGUGGACUACUCGAAGGCAUUCCAGGGACUAGAAUGCAUUGGCGGGGGAGGAUGUCACGGGGUGACGAUUUUUCAGGGCGGAACCAAAAGUUGAAGAAGUUUGGUUCCGCCCGGAUGUUUCCGCCCCGACCGGAAAAACAGAAACACCGGACAUCCGGUGGCUCCGCGAAGGCUGUAAUCAGCCGAUUGGGCACAGCUGUGCCUAGUUGAAGAGAUCGCCGAGUAAUUGGAUAACUGGAGUACAAAGAGGAGUAUAAAAAGCGCAGUUAGAUGACAGUUGUGUUCGUUGUUAGUGUGUGCUGAGGAACGGAGCUGUGCUCAUUGUCAGACGUGGUGGCUGUCUGUAUUUCUCUCUCUCUCCCUCUCUCACUGUAGUUGACGGUGGACCUGCUGGAGUAAACGGAAAAUCCGAUGAGUAGAAAGGAACUUUGGUUUAACCAGUACUUUUGAAGGAGUAAAGCAGGAAGAAAACUGACCUUGUUGUACAACGUAAACAAAGGCUAUCCGCUGUGAGUAUACUUGUUUGGUGUGGAGUAAACUGCAGAGAUUAACCUGUGUGAUCGUUGGAGUCCUCGAGGAGGAAACGGGCGGCCCUGCCCCUAUAAUAGCGUGGUGGGCGAGCCGCUGGAAGCAUAGAUCCAAAACAGCACAGCAACGAGACUUUAUUUCGGUCGUGUUUGCCAUCGCCCCUAUUUAGCCCAAGCGCAGUGGAGGACACCGGGCGCUUUUCCUUGUGGUGUUACACUUAUAGCGUGGGGAGUGAGACUUUACAAAUAAUAAGCUUUCACAUUGGAGUGGUGCUGUGUAUUUGCUGUGGGUUGCUGUGUGUCUUGUAGACGAAGCCCCGUACAUCCAUCUUCUCUACUGGGCAGAGGACGGAGGGGCUAACGACCUCAGAAAUUUCUGCUACCAUACGCUGUGUGCUGUUUCGGAGGACGAAGGGACACGGACCAAGAGCUGUCCAGGGCUGUGAGUGAAGUAUUGGAAGUAUUCGUGGUGUACACUUACCUGUGUCUGUCUUUUUGUCGCAGAGUCAGAGGCGAAAGAGUCCGCCGCCCCCGCGCUCCCUACAAAGGGGCGCCCCUGUCCAGGAUUCGAUCGGCCUACGGGCAGUGGAGAUAGGGCAGCGCUCGACCCGGUGAGGUGGUGUGUGACCUUCGCCCCUCUGCUGACCUACGGAGAAGAAAAAGCCAUACCUACCCAGAAAGCUGUAGGUAGCAGAGCCGGUGAGAAAUACUUGAAGUCUCAGUAACAGUGCCUUUGUGUCCUAGUGGCCACCUGUGGAGAGAGAGAAGAACGAGAGCGAAUAAUUGAAGAACAGACUGUGAACGUGAUACCUACCCAGAAAGCUGUAUGCAGCAGAGUCGGUGAGAAAUACUCGAAGUCUCAGUAACAGUGUCUUUGUGUCCUAGCGGCCACCUGUGGAGAGAGAGAAGAACGAGAGUGAAUAAUUGAAGAACAGACUGUGAACGUGAUACCUACCCAGAAAGCUGUAUGCAGCAGAGCCGGUGAGAAAUACUCGAAGUCUCAGUAACAGUGUCUUUGUGUCCUAGCGGCCACCUGUGGAGAGAGAGAAGAACGAGAGUGAACCAUUGAAGAACAGACUGUGAACGUGAUACCUACCCAGGAAGCUGUACGCAGCAGAACCGCGGCCACCUGUGGAGAGAGAGAAGAACGAGAGUGAAUAAGUGAAGAACAGACUGUGAACGUGAUACCUACCCAGAAAGCUGUAUGCAGCAGAGCCGGUGAGAAAUACUCGAAGUUUCAGUAACAGUGUCUUUGUGUCCUAGCGGCCACCUGUGGAGAGAGAGAAGAACGAGAGUGAACCACUGAAGAACAGACUGUGAAUGUGAUACCUACCCAGAAAGCUGUACGCAGCAGAACCGGUGAGACAUACUCGAAGUCCAAGUAACAGUACCUUUGUGUCCUAGUGGCCGCCUGAGGAGAGAAAGGAGGACGAGAGUGAACAAUCGGAGGACAGACGGUGUAACGCGCUACCUACCCCGAGAGCUGUAAGCGGCAGAACCGGUGAGAAGCAUACCAAAUCCACACUAACCGUGUUUCUGUGUCGCAGUGAACACCUGCGGGGGACGUGAAGGCACGUGGGGCGAGGACCCCCUGCCGGACCGAGGAAAGGUUCACGGACAGUGGAAAAUCUCCUACCAGUCACACCGAAAUUGUUCUGCCUCCGGGAAAGAAGAAGGAGGGCGCCACGGUUAACAGGGUCCAGGCCGGAGCCUGACGAUUCCCUCUUUCCCCCGGCUUAUGGUGAUUGACACCCCUGUUGCCCUUGCCCCUGUCUGCCCGUGGCUGCAGUCUCCCUGGAGGGAGGAGAAGAAGCCUAUUAGUUUUAAAUCCCCCUUUCCCCAAUUCCCCAGUUCUUUUAAAUAUUUAAAUUCAAUAAAGCUUGUUUUAAAUUUUA